rnacentral:rRNA from 1 species
CCGGCGUCACUCCGGACGGGGAGGUGUGACGAAAAUACAAUACGGGACUCUUUCGAGGCCUCGUAAUUGGAAUGAGUACACUUCAAACCCUUUAACGAGGAUCUAUUGGAGGGCAAGUCUGGUGCCAGCAGCCGCGGUAAUUCCAGCUCCAAUAGCGUAUAUUAAAGUUGUUGCAGUUAAAAAGCUCGUAGUUGGAUCUCGGGUUUGGGCGGGCGGUCCGCCUCGCGGCGGUUACUGCACGACCCGACCUAAA